rnacentral:lncRNA from 1 species
GAUUGUAUACGAGACACGUUACCUGGCGCUGGGCCCACGCACUGCUCCACGCGUCGCCCUGCUUUCCCCUAGUAUCUCUUACCAGCGUUGGACCUUAUCCAUUCAGUUCCCUCGAUCCAUUUCUCUCAGCUCUACGAAAAAUCAACCCCAGAUCCAACGAGCAUAGCCCCAAAUCUCGACGACCGCCGUUGCCGCAAAUUCCAGCGACGCCGGCGACCUCCGCGUCGCACGUCCCAUCCUCUUUCUCUUGUUCCAAGCCCCAUGACCUCCACUCCGUUUUUGUUGCGAGCCAAGCACGGGAGCUGGAACCACCCGCGGCUUGUGCCGAGUCGUCGAUGCGCUACCUACCGCUUGAUCCGGAGCUGAACCAGCACCGCAAGGUGUUGCAGCCGGAGCUGGAACCGACGAACUUCAGAGCUACCAACCCGCGCAGGUGGUGAUUUUAGCUGCGCCUUCUUGUUGGAUUUUUGGUGGAACCAGUGUUUUGUUUUGCUGGAACUAGCUUUUUUGUUUGCUACAAUCGAACCACUGGGAUCCCCUGUUUAUUUUAUUUGCUGGAACCAAUGUUUUUUUCAGCUGGAACUAGCAAUCCUUUUUGCUACAACCUUCUAUGUUUUGCUACAAUCGAACCACUUGGAGUUUCCCUGCUGAGUUAUUUAAAGCGUUCUUUAUUUUUGUUGGAAAUAGCAAUCCUUUUUGCUCCAAAUCAACUACCAGAUUUUCUUUACUGAUUAUUUUUUUUGUUGGAACCGAUUUCUUUUUUUGCUGGAACCUUCUAAUGUUUUUGCUUCAACGAAAUCGGCAGGCGAAUAAGUUGCAUCCACACCGACCAGUUAUGGAAUCAGACGAGCAGGCAAGUCGUUUUGCUGGAACCGGCCUUUUGUUUUGCUACAACCGGCAAAGUUUUUGCUGCUUCAGCGAGGUGUUUUAUUGCGACAGUCAGCGGCGACGGCGGUAUUUCGGCUGGAAUUGGUGAUGUGUUUUGUUGGUACUGUAUUUGAUUUUUUCUACUACCGGUGACAGUGGCAUUUUUGCCGAUGAAUUUUGUUUUGUUUUUGGCUGGAACAUGGUGGUGGGAGCUGAUGAUGCGUCAAGCCAGCGUUGGACGAUGAAGGCGAUGCUACGACCUUCAUCAGCGGAUGUUACAACCUUCAGUGGCGGGAGCUACAAGUAGAGAUGGCGAGAAGGAAAAGCUAUGACCAUGGAGUCGAUUUGCUGGGACGGGGGAUGGGCGAUGGCGGUGGUGACGGGGCUGCAACAGGGCUGGUGGUGGAGAUGGGAUGGUGUGACCCCAUGCUGCAACCAUGGGGUGGUCGGGAGCGGCGACAGCAACCUCUGGCGCGCCGGCACAAGCAAACUGACAGCAAGCACGGGUCAUGGGGCGGUCGAAGAGCGCAUGUCGCGCGGCCGUGGGGGAGGCCGGCAAGCACGGAUGAGGAGNNN